CGGCUCGCCCCGCCCCCGCCCCGCCCGUGCGCCCCGGUGACCUUCACGGGCUCGGGCGGCGGGUGCAGGCCCGGGCGGCGGCGCGAUGUUCGUGCAGGAGGAGAAGAUCUUCGCGGGCAAGGUGCUGCGGCUGCACAUCUGUGCCGCGGACGGCGCCGAGUGGCUGGAGGAGGCGACCGAGGACACCUCGGUGGAGAAGCUCAAGGAGCGCUGCCUCAAGCACUGUGCUCAUGGGAGCUUAGAGGAUCCCAAAAGUGUGACCCAUCAUAAGUUAAUCCACGCUGCUUCAGAGAGGGUGCUGAGUGACACCAGGACAAUCUUAGAGGAGAAUGUCCAAGACAAAGAUGUCCUAUUAUUGAUAAAAAAGCGUGCUCCAGAGCCACUUCCCAAGAUGGCUGAUGUCUCCGCAGAAGAAAAGAAGAAACAAGAACAGAAGGCUCCAGACAGAGACGCCAUACAUCGGGCCACAGCCAAGCUGCCCGCCUGUAGCACGGACCGGGCCGCAGUCCAGACCACCAUGAGGGAUUUCCAGACAGAGCUCCGGAAAAUCUUGGUGUCUCUCAUCGAGGUGGCACAGAAGUUGUUAGCACUGAACCCUGACGCAGUUGAAUUGUUUAAGAAGGCAAAUGCCAUGUUGGACGAGGAUGAGGACGAGCGAGUGGAUGAGGCCGCCCUGCGGCAGCUCACAGAGAUGGGCUUUCCUGAGAGCAGGGCUGCAAAGGCCCUUCGGCUGAACCACAUGUCGGUGCCUCAAGCCAUGGAGUGGCUGAUAGAGCACGCCGAGGACCCGGCCAUCGAUGCGCCUCUUCCAGGCCAGGCCUCACCAGCAGCAGCAGGUGCUGCGGCCGCCACUCCAGAAGCUGCUGCUGGGACUAGCGAGGGAGACCAGGAGGUCCGGGACGAGCUCACGGAUAUCUUCAAGAAGAUUCGCAGGAAAAGGGAAUUCCGGGCCGAUGCUCGGGCCGUCGUUUCCCUGAUGGAGAUGGGCUUUGAUGAGAAGGAGGUGGUGGACGCCCUCAGAGUGAGCAACAACCAGCAGAAUGCCGCCUGCGAGUGGCUGCUGGGAGACCGCAAGCCAUCCCCUGAGGAGCUGGACCAGGGCAUCGACCCCAACAGCCCUCUCUUUCAGGCUAUUCUGGACAACCCGGUGGUGCAGCUGGGGCUUACCAACCCCAAAACAUUGCUCGUAUUUUUGACCCUCAUCUGGUUGAUCCACGGAUGCUGGACCCCUGGAUUGGAGGCCUAGCCAUUGCAGUCCCCCUGAGCCGCUGGAUGCCUCGCCUCACUGUCCUGUGCUGCAGAGUCUUGCCAGGCAUGUCUCCAGCAGUCCAGCAGCUCUUCCUGCUUUCUGUGCAUUUGAAGACAUGCUGGAGAACCCACUGAACAGCACCCAGUGGAUGAAUGACCCAGAAACCGGCCCAGUCAUGCUGCAGAUUUCUAGAAUCUUCCAGACGCUGAACCGCACGUAGGUGGCAUUGCAACUCUUGGCUGUCUGGCUGUAGCAGCCUCCCCAGGCAUGGAGCAGGAGGGCAGGGGCCCUCACCCAGAAGCCGCCUUCAGCACCAGGCCUGGAUUGCUCGGGCCACAGCUGCUUUUCCUCCCUGACCUUACUGCCUAUGGACUCCUGGACGGUAAGCUGCCUUCUUAGCUCCUGACAGGUGUUCCCAGGAAGUGGCUGUCGGGUGGAAGCGGAGCGAUCGCCUUCUCUCCAGAGUGCUGCAGUGGCUCUGAAAGGCGCCCCCUGGCGAGUGCUGUGGGGUCCGCAGGUCAUCUGAAAGAAGCAUGCUGCAGUCCAGUGCUUUCGCGUGGGCUGACCCUCCAGAGUGACUCUCAGAUGGCUCCUUUAAUAAAUAAAGCUCUUUCCUAUUUUC